GCCCUUCGGGGUGGAUUAGUGGCGAACGGGUGAGUAACACGUGGGCAAUCUGCCCUUCACUCUGGGACAAGCCCUGGAAACGGGGUCUAAUACCGGAUAACACUCUGUCCCGCAUGGGACGGGGUUAAAAGCUCCGGCGGUGAAGGAUGAGCCCGCGGCCUAUCAGCUUGUUGGUGGGGUGAUGGCCUACCAAGGCGACGACGGGUAGCCGGCCUGAGAGGGCGACCGGCCACACUGGGACUGAGACACGGCCCAGACUCCUACGGGAGGCAGCAGUGGGGAAUAUUGCACAAUGGGCGAAAGCCUGAUGCAGCGACGCCGCGUGAGGGAUGACGGCCUUCGGGUUGUAAACCUCUUUCAGCAGGGAAGAAGCGAAAGUGACGGUACCUGCAGAAGAAGCGCCGGCUAACUACGUGCCAGCAGCCGCGGUAAUACGUAGGGCGCAAGCGUUGUCCGGAAUUAUUGGGCGUAAAGAGCUCGUAGGCGGCUUGUCACGUCGGAUGUGAAAGCCCGGGGCUUAACCCCGGGUCUGCAUUCGAUACGGGCUAGCUAGAGUGUG
rnacentral:rRNA from 1 species